rnacentral:rRNA from 1 species
GACGAACGCUGGCGGCGUGCUUAACACAUGCAAGUCGAGCGGUAAGGCCCUUUCGGGGGUACACGAGCGGCGAACGGGUGAGUAACACGUGGGUGACCUGCCCUUAGCUCUGGGAUAAGCCUGGGGAACUGGGUCUAAUACCGGAUAUGACUCCAUGACGCAUGUUGUGGGGUGGAAAGCCUUGUGCGGCUAGGGAUGGGCCCGCGGCCUAUCAGCUUGUUGGUGGGGUGAUGGCCUACCAAGGCGACGACGGGUAGCCGGCCUGAGAGGGCGACCGGCCACACUGGGACUGAGACACGGCCCAGACUCCUACGGGAGGCAGCAGUGGGGAAUCUUGCGCAAUGGGCGAAAGCCUGACGCAGCGACGCCGCGUGGGGAUGACGGCCUC